GAGAAAUGAGGAGAACAGCUAACAGCCUGAUCCUAGUGAAGACUGUUCUAAUCCAACUCUGAUCUCACACUCUGA